UGCGUGAGCUGCGGCCCGGGCGCCAGUCGCUCGCAACACGCGGCCGGCGCAGGUCGCGUUUAUUCGGUCGCGCUGCGCUAUCUACGCCGCCCGCCCUACGUCACGGUAUCGAGAUCGGGUGCACUCCCUCACACCCUGCAACAGUGCUGGCGCACUAGGCGGCCUGCACACAUGCACUUUUCAUUCAUCCCCGAAGCGGUCGAGACUCGCGAUCCCUCCGCGCUUGGUUCGGUCUUAUCAAUCGCCCGUGCGUCUUUAUGAGGCAGUGACCCUGAAGCUGAAGCGACUUGUGUAGUAUCGAAGUGAUCUACCCGAACUGAUUGUCGUCAAAUGAACAUUUGAAAACAAUAGCUCAUCUAACUGUAAAAUAAUGUAAAGUAGUAUAAUUUAACGUAAAUAGUGUGUUUGUUCAUUAAAAUACUUCAUUCUUAAAGUGCCUCAUUGUGAUUUAGUUUAAAUAUUUUUGGAACAAUUACUAUUUGGUGAUUAUCUGGUACUAGAUAGUGUGAACAAUUUUCAUCCGACGGUUUUGAAGAUUCCGCGAUGAUGUUUUGAAGUGAUGGGUGUGGAGCGUGGCGCGAGCGCGCUGCGCAUACGCGCCGUGGGUGCGAGCGAGCGCGAGGUGGCGUAGCCCGGCGCGGU